GAACCGGGUAAAAGUCGUAACAAGGUAUCUGUAGGUGA
rnacentral:rRNA from 1 species